CAGAGCGGUCACAUGCUCCUCUGACCCCUGCUGGAACACGGAGUGAGGAGGAUCUCACAGACUCAGAGAAAGCACCUGGGCAUGUUAUAUGAGGAAAGGGAAGUCUCUCUCUAAAGGUUGCUUCUUAUACAGUGUUUGAAAAAAGCAGUACUACUCAUCCUCCAGUAACUCCCAUCAUAUCUGAUGAUGAUGACGCUGCGGAAGCAGGUCCAUCAAAAGAAGCAGCAGAAGUGGGACUUCUGUAAGACACCACCACAAAAAGCCUGUGGCAGCAAAGAAAGCAAGGGCUGAUGUCCAGGGCCAACCACAACAGGCUACCCCGCCACGAAGAUUAUCCACAGUAUGUUCGGUCCCCCACUCCAAAUUUUGGACACACCUCCAAGACGUCAUCCACACUCCCCUCAUCUUGAUUCUUCUAGUCCUGGUAACAGCAUCCCUCCGCAACAACAGCAACACAGUGACAUGGAGGAGACAAACAUCUUAAAAAUGCAGCCAUUAAGCCAAGGAAUCAGCCCCCCAGCACCUGUUGCACCGAGGUGGCUGUAUGACGAAGCUAAGCGACACAAGUGUGCGGCACAAACACCUGGCCCAUCUAGGAGUGGCACUGCACUGGCAGACAGGAUGGCAGAUAUAAAAAAAAAAGGCCCCAAACAGCACAUCAUGCAAAGAUGUAAAAGAAGUGCACCGAGGUUGCUGUAUGACUAAGCUAAGCGACACAACUACCUGGCCCAUCUAGUAGUGGCAUGCAGUGGCUGAAUGUUGAAAGUGGCCUGCAGUUCUUCAGUCCACUGACAGUAACUCAUGUAUGCCCCUGUAAUUUUUCAAAUAUUCUGCAAUUGUUGGACUUAUACGGCAGUACCCCAGGACUAAUACAGCAGUACCCCUGGACUUAUACGGCAGUGUCAGACAGGAUGGCACUUUAAAAAACCAUGUGCUACUCUAUAUAUUUAUGUUCCUGUGAGAAAUGCUUUAAGUAGAGUUUUCAUUAAUAGAAAAAUAACUCACCCAGGCUGCCACUAACUCGGACCCAGUUCCCAUUCUAGUGAGUCAGAAUGGGUUGAACCUCCAAAAGGAUGCACCCUUAUCAUGAUUUAACUUGACACUGAUAAUGUCGAUAUUAUCUUAGACCGUAAAGCUAUACCUCUAAUUACACUUUUACCGUGGAGCCGCUAGACUGAAUACACGUGCUACGCACUUUGCACGCUAUUUGCGUACAGAGUCCUGCACGAGGUACGCACUUGGCGUACACACGCCGCGCCGAGUGUACAGAGUACACACAGCAAGCGCACACACAAUUGAUAACCUUUAGACCUUGUUAAUGAUACAAUGUAAUGAUUUGCUUACACUUUAAACCCUUAAUAGCAAAGUACUGCAAUGAUGUUAUACCUUAAACCUUAAGUAGCACUGACGGUAUAAAGUAACCGCAGUGCGUACACCUUAUCGAUACUUAUACACCUUAUACAGAUAAAUACACUCUAAAGCCCAUGCAGGAAAGUGAAAACACAACACUGAUUUGUAGUUGCAACCACAGGGUUCUAAGGCAACCGUGGAUUUGUUCCAAAAGGUAAAACAGUACAAAUCAUACACUACAGGCUAACAAGUAAAUCUAAACAGAAUAAUGGCUACAGAGAAUGUACAUACGUGAGAAUGUUCGCAAGCGCAACCCGAGUCGGUCCUCCGCUGGUCAUACAGAUAGCGUUCAGAGUCUAGUGUGUCCAAGCCUGCUGCAAGCUCUCUUUAUUCACUUCAUCCAAAACAAUACAAUGGUCACUGUAAUCCCUAUGUCUAUUGGACACAGAGAUGUACCUUUUCAUUACGGGAGAGGUCAUAGGUUGAUUUGAAAAGGUGGGCUAUGUCUUUCUCAACUGCUCUUGUGGGUGGUCUCCUCUGGAUUCCCCCCGCAUACAUAAUAUACAGUAAACACAGUUAAUGUUCAUAUUCUACUUUUGCACAUAACUAUACGCAGGAACAAGCGAUCUUUCUCAAACCAACACCAGAAUGUUUCCCUUAAAAUACCCUACAGCUGGAUACCAAACACCACCUUGUAACCUUGUUCUGUCCCCUCCUAUCCUGUAAAGGUGAAUCCCUUUGUUCUGUUAUCAUUUUAAACAGCUAUUUCUUUCUGAUGUGGUGCAGGGAGCUAUGUGUACAAUGUGCACUAUUUGGGUUAAAUAUGUAAUGUUCUAAUAACCCUCUACGCGCUCACAAACUCCGCCGUAAAUACCCAUAUCACGCGCAUGAUCGCCGGAGCGAUCCGACGCAAAUUGCGGAUAUGUGCACGAACGGAGGACUGAGUGCACGAGCAGCGGGCAUGUGCAUGGGGUUAGUACAAGGCAGAUGUAUUACAAUAUUUUUCGACAUUGACAACACACAACACAAUGGGGGAAUGAUCGGAAAUAUUCCAAGGCUGAUACUGUACACUACAUAUGGCAGGCAUUAAUGAACAAGAGAAUAAAGCAAGAUCAAUUCUGGAGAAGGAACAAUGUGAUGAGGAAAAAUAAGAGAAUUGUUGAAUGCCAGGAUGCUGUAGCCACCAGGCAUCCACACUUCCCAUCUCAUCUAACAAAGCUGAAAGGCUAGUUGAUGUGGAAAUGAUAUUGGUUCUACUUCCCCGCCACCUGUCCAUGGCAACAUCAACACAUUAUUAAAGUUCCCAACAUAUAGCACAGGAACCCCCGCGGGAAGGAGGAAAGAAAAUCACAGCAUAGCUUAAGGACAUCUGGGUUGAAAGGUGGAGGAACAUAGACUACAAAUAAUAUAAGUGUAUGAGAGUUAAUCAAGGUAUUAAGGAUAAUAAAUAUGCCUAAUGGGUCUGUUUGGACUCUUAGAACAGAGAGUCUAACACACUUAUAUCACAUAAAUUCCCCUAGAGUUUGGGUGAAAGGUGGAGUGGCAACACCAGCCCACCCAUGGGUUGUUUUGUUUUUUUAAGGCCAGGACUCUAUUGCCAAUUAAAUGAGUUUCAAGAAGGCAUACAAUGUCAGGUUUAUAGGAUUUAACAUGGGGGAUCAUUAGGGAUCUCUUUAUCAUAUCACUGAGUCCCUGGGCUUUCCAGGGCAAAACAGUUAAUCCCAAAAUAAAAAGAAUUGGACUAUAGGAACCAGUGCCAUGAAACAGAGAGUCAGAGGAUCACAUUGUGCAUGUGAACACCUGCCAAGCCAAACAAUAGUAUAAUAAUUAGAAAAAAAACAACACCAAAAACAUCAUAUUAGUACUAAACAGUGAAAACAGAGAAAAAAAAGUAUCAACACACAGAAAAAGAGGCCAUUUACUGGGUGCACUGAGAACCUGACAAAUAACAAAUAAAUGACUAAAACAUAUCCUUUAUUAUUCUCUCUUUAUUAGCCUUAUGAAAAAUUAAAAAUAAAUAAAGUAAGUGAAAAAGUUAGAAAUAGUGAUAUUAAAAAAUAUCAGAGACUGCUAUAUGUAUUCCAAGGGUAUAUUCCCUAUUAUAGGCAAUUAUAGCCCCCACUGCCAAUAUACAUUGCCCUAUGAGAUCCUAUCAAUCACAGUGUUUCAAUUGUAUUAUGUUAUCUAGGAUAUCUUAAUAGAGAUCUUAUACACUCAUAAUGAACCUUGAUAUAUAGCGAUAUAUUAUAAUGUACUGUAUCAAUA